AAGUUGUCAUGCAUCUAGGGUAUUGAAUCUUCGUUGCAUAAAAUUGGUUUUCCUCAUUGUUUUUUUUCAUUUUAAAAAGUUUCUGAAAGGUCGAAAUUUAUAAAAAGACGGUAGACGAGAAAACGGUUUAUUUGAUUUUUGGGAACGGCUCAAUUCAUUCAUUCGUCGAAACCAUGUGUACCAUCUUGUUCAUAGCCUUAAUGUGCGCUUCGUUAGUUAAUGUGUCAUUUUGUGUAAAGGAAAGCUUCGCGAACGGUUUUAAAAAUGUACAUUCAAAGGAGUUCGAUAAUACCGACGGAGGGUAUCAAUAUAAUUCACCAACAAACAGCCACUAUGAACCCCCGGCUACUUCGCCACUUGCUACGGAGUAUGGGUAUGAACCUUCAGGUUUUCAUCCGUGGUACGGGUCUAGACCGCAAUACUAUCCGUCAGGGGGGCCAUCAGCUCAAAUUCCAUACCAUUCACAAAACUCUUGGCUUUUGGAAAAACUGAAAUCCAAAAUAAACCUUUAUACGCUCGGAAAAAUAUUAUUAAAGAUUUUGAUUUUAAAAAAAACUAUUAAAUUUAUCGUGUUGAUUUUUUUACUUUUGGUAUUACCAAAGUUAAAAAAUAUUUUUAAAGAUGAAAUGACUGCCGAAAGUGAGGGAACAGACAGAACAUAUUUGCUAACAGACAAAGAUAAAUUAGAACAACGAAUUGAAAAUCUAAACGAUUUUCUUAUUUAUUCUCUACGUAAUUUUGAAUAAAGAAAUCUAUAGAUUUACGAAAACCAUAAAAUAAAUGUUUGAAA